AGGUAACUGGUGUGCCUCCUGGUCUUCAAAACCAGUGUGGGGCGCGGUGCGUCCCGGGUGAGUUCGAUUCCCACACACUCCC
rnacentral:tRNA from 1 species